CAAAAACAUGUCUUUUUGAAAAUAAUUUAAAGUCUAAUCUGCCCACUGAUAAAUAUUAAAGGGCUGCAGUAUAUUGACUGUACAAAGGUAGCAUAAUCAAUAGUCUUUUAAUUGAAGACUUGUAUGAAGGAUUUAAUGAAAUAUAAUCUGUCUCUUAUUUAUAAUUAGAAUUUAAUUUUUUAGUUAAAAAGCUAAAAUAGAUUUAAAAGACGAGAAGACCCUAUAGAGUUUUAUAAUUAAUUAAUUUUGGGUUAUAUAUAUAAUUUAAAAUUAAAAAUUAAUUAAUUAUUUUAUUGGGGUGAUAAAAAAAUUAAUUAAACUUUUUUUUAUUAAAGACAUAAAUAAGUGAAUAAAUGAUCCAUUAUUAAUGAUUAAAAGAAAAAAUUACCUUAGGGAUAACAGCGUAAUUUUUUUUUUUAGUUCAAAUAAGAAAAAGAGAUUGCGACCUCGAUGUUGGAUUAAGAUAAAAUAUAAAUGCAAAAGUUUAAAAUUUUGAUCUGUUCGAUCAUUAAAAUCUUACAUGAUCUGAG
rnacentral:rRNA from 1 species